rnacentral:rRNA from 1 species
AAGCCUGAUCCAUCCAUGCCGGGUGUGUGAAGAAAGCCUUCGGGUUGGAAAGCACUUUUAUUGGGAAGAAAUAUCACGGUUUAAUACCAAGGGAAGAUUGACGGUACCCCAGGAAAAAGCCCCGGCUAAAUUUGUGCCACCAGCCGCGGUAAUAUGAAGGGGGCAAGCGUUUUUUGGAAUUUUUGGGGGUAAAAGCGUGCGUGGGGGGUUGUUUAAUUUUGUGGGGAAAACCCCGGGUUCAACCUGGGAAAGGCGCUGGAAACAGGCGGAGCUUAGAGUGUGGGGGAGGGGGGUGGAAUUCUCGGUGUAGCGGUGAAAAAUGUGGAGAUAGGGAGGAAACACCAGUGGGGAAGGGGGCCUUCUGGGCCAACACUGACGCUGAGGCACGAAAGAGUGGGGGGCAAACAGGAUUAGAUACCCCGGUAGUCCACCCCCUAAAAGAUGGGAAUUGGAGGGGGGGUCACUAGGUGUUCAGUGUCGAAGCUAACGCGUUAAGU